CUUGUAUCACUCAUGGAGAAGCCUCAUGUUGAUUUUGGACUAAAGCUUCUAGGAGCUAAUGUUAUGUCAAUACCUGGUCUUUACAGAUUUGUUCAGGAGACCAUAAAGAAGCAAGU